UUUCCUUGAAAAAUGAGCUUC
rnacentral:piRNA from 1 species